GAACGCUAGCUACAGGCUUAACACAUGCAAGUCGAGGGGAAACGACAUCGAAAGCUUGCUUUGAUGGGCGUCGACCGGCGCGACGGGUGAGUAACGCGUAUCCAACCUGCCGCCAGUGAGGAAUAGGCUCCCGAAAGGGAAAUUAAUGCCUCAUGAGGUGUGUUUCUGACAUCAGAGACAUACGAAAGCCGCGAGGCGCGUGGGUGAUGGGGAUGCGUCCGAUUAGCUUGUUGGCGGGGUAACGGCCCACCAAGGCGACGAUCGGUAGGGGUUCUGAGAGGAAGGUCCCCCACAUUGGAACUGAGACACGGUCCAAACUCCUACGGGAGGCAGCAGUGAGGAAUAUUGGUCAAUGGCCGCGAGGCUGAACCAGCCAAGUAGCGUGCAGGAAGACGGCCCUAUGGGUUGUAAACUGCUUUUGCAGGGGAAUAAAGUAUGCCACGUGUGGUGUUUUGCAUGUACCCUGCGAAUAAGGAUCGGCUAAUUCCGUG
rnacentral:rRNA from 1 species